UACGGAAGGGGCAAGCGUUGUUCGGAAUCAUUGGGCGUAAAGAGCUCGUAGGCGGCUUGUCACGUCGAUUGUGAAAGCCCGAGGCUUAACCUCGGGUCUGCAGUCGAUACGGGCUAGCUAGAGUGUGGUAGGGGAGAUCGGAAUUCCUGGUGUAGCGGUGAAAUGCGCAGAUAUCAGGAGGAACACCGGUGGCGAAGGCGGAUCUCUGGGCCAUUACUGACGCUGAGGAGCGAAAGCGUGGGGAGCGAACAGG
rnacentral:rRNA from 1 species